rnacentral:ribozyme from 1 species
UAAAUCAUCAGAAAAUGACAAACCUGUGGGGCGUAAGUAAAUACUUUUAUGCAAGAGAAGAAGAGUGGUGAUUGCUCUGAUUAGUAUUGAUAGUCACAAGUAUUUAUAAUCGUGCGGACGUAAAAAUCAGGU